rnacentral:rRNA from 1 species
CUUAGUAUUUUCACGACCGGGUCGGGUCGGUCGCACGGGUAGUUAGUUAGGCGCCUUAGAUAGGGGGGGCGUCGUCUGCGGUACCGGCGGCGUGGCUGCGGCGUCGGGAACGAGGGCCACUGGUUGGGGAGGAGGCCCCCGCCGCCGAGACGGGGCAGGCGGCCGUCGCCGGAGUGGCUGAGGCGCGAGCGGUGCGGCCGGAAGGCCGAGAAGGAGUCGUCCCAGAGGCUGUGCCGCGCCGCGAGCGAGCGGCUGGCGGCGGGGACCUGCCUCGAGUAGCUGGCGAGCCGGUAGAGCGCCGGCCUGAGGGAGAGGCUCCGGUGGAGCGCUAACGCGGCGUUGGACCCGAUGAAGGCGCAGUUGAUGCGGCGGCACCACCGGAAGAGGGAGCGCCGGAGGGAGGACCGCGUGGGGAAGAGCGACGAGCAGGAGGAGCCGUAGGAGCCGCGGACCACGAAGGAGAUGCAGAAGGCGCGCGGGCUGGUCGGGCAGCACGAGAAGCCGGCGUGGAAGUGGCUGGCCCUCUGCGACGAGCCGGAGCAGCAGAGCAGCGACGAGCGGAAGAAGGAGUGCAGGCAGCGGAGCGAGUAGUAGAGGCCGGACGAGCAGCCGCCGCGCGACCACCGCCACGUGCCGCGCAAGGCGUACGGGCUCCUGGAGAAGGAGCUGCUGAGCUCGAGACACAGUUCGCCGUUGUGAAGGGUGUCCGACGAGAGGAAGGAGCGCAGCGGGCCUAGACCACAAACUCGGACGCGCUCUAGACCAUCGGAAGAACGUAGUUGCUCAAGUAGAGUUCAGACUCAGAUUAAAGCGCUCUAGACUAAAACCAAAAUUAUACAUAGAGGUCAAUAAGUUUCUAGGCGCACUUCGACAUAAGAGAGCAUAAACUGGUCUACAAUUCGUAAUCGUUUAACUAGUGACACGUGAUACUUAGCUAACUCGCAAUCGUUUAACUAGGCGUAAUAAUCGACAUAAGCGAGCAUAAAUUGGUCUAACAAGUAUAUGUCCAAAAUACCAAAGGUGACACAGACGGAAACGGACAUCAAAAGAAAAAUAGAUG